rnacentral:rRNA from 1 species
GAUGAACGCUCGCGGCGGGCCUAAUACAUGCAAGCCGAGCGAACAGACGGAUAGCUUUCUCCUCUCACGUUAGCCGCGAAGGUGUGAGAAACAUGUGGAUAAUCUACGUAUAAGGCGGGUAUAACUUCGGAAAACCGGAUCAAAUACCAUAAAAUCAUGAGAAGGGCAUUGUUCAAGAUUAAAACGCAAGUUUGCGCGCACGGAUAUGUGGUUGCGUGCCGCAUUGGCUAGUUGGUAAGGUAACGGAUUACCAAGGCAACGAUGCGUAGCCGACCUGAGAGGGUGAUCGGCCACACUGGAACUGAGACACGGUCCAGACUCCUACGGGAGGCAGCAGUAGGGAAUCUUCCGCAAUGGGCGAAAGCCUGACGGAGCAAAGCCGCGUGAGUGAUGAAGGUCUUCGGAUCGUAAAACUCUGUUAUUAGGGAAGAACAAAUGUGUAAGUAACUAUGCACGUCUUGACGUUACCUAAUCAGAAAGCCACGGCUAACUACGUG